rnacentral:rRNA from 1 species
UACAGAGGUCCCAAGCGUUGUUCGGAUUCAUUGGGCGUAAAGGGUGCGUAGGUGGCGCUGUAAGUCGGGUGUGAAAUUUCGGAGCUUAACUCCGAAACUGCAUUCGAUACUGCGGUGCUUGAGGACUGGAGAGGAGACUGGAAUUCACGGUGUAGCGGUGAAAUGCGUAGAUAUCGUAAGGAAGACCAGUGGCGAAGGCGGGUCUCUGGACAGUUCCUGACGCUGAGGCACGAGGGCCAGGGGAGCAAACGGG